UUCCAACCAAUAGACUUGAACUCAUCACUUUCUACUAUCUUCCAUAGUUUUUUGGGAAAGGAGAGAGAAAGAAGUACAUUUAUCUCGCCUGAUUCUACUUUACUUUGGUUACAGCUACGGCAAUGCAGUUUUUUGGAGAAGCCGGCAUCUUCUUGCACUUCAUAAGCAUGUUCUUCCAAAAUGUCCUUUACAGCCAAAGUUCUUACUGCAAAUUUGGUUUUGAGGCUCUCCAGCUUCCAAGACAACAAAAGCAUUGGCAGUAAACAUAAUGUGGGGAUGCCCUAUGUUGAUGAGGGGCAUCCCCGGGCAUAGAAAUGGCAGAAAGAGAUGGCAUCAUAGGCAUGGAAAACCAUGGAUGAGAGAACGGCAAUCUGGCAAUCUGGUAGGCAUCCAUAGUUGCUAAAUCUAGUUAACAUGAAUCACUCUGUAAACUGUGGGUCAUCCACCUCAGCAUGUUGCAAACCUGCUGUCCCAAAAGGUGAAGAUCACUGUACCAUCAAUAACGUCCAUUGAACGCAAGAACAGGACAGACCAAACAAUGUAAUAGAGUACUACCAGACACAGGAAGGACAUCAAGAUCCACAGAGGAACACAAACAACCUGAAAAAGAAAGAUCGUUGAUCAUUUUUCCUCUCAUCGACGAGUCACUCUGUAACAGUUUUGUUUUUUAGAAAAUAAAAAACUAAACAUAUUAAACAUAAAUAGCUGCAAGUAAUUUGUUGUAAAUCUAUAAUGCUUUGUUAUUAUCACUACAACAAG